AAGUGGUAGAAGAAGCUGCACCAGUGGCGGGAGAAAUGGCUCCAGUGGUGGCUGAAGGAACAGUUGCAGUGGCAGGAGAAAUGGCCCCAGCGGCUGAAGGAAUUGGUGCAG